GAUACUCAAGGCUUAGGCUUGAAAUUCCAAUCUAGAAAGUAGCAUUUAAUACUCUGAUUUUUGGGAAUUGAAGUAUAUUUUUGGGAAUUUAGAAGCCAAUCUAGCACGGUGGNNNNNNNNNNNNNAAGCAAUUGUGGACUUGAAUUCAAUUUUACUUUUGAAACCCAAAAGGGGAAUCAGUUGGGGGUUGGUCUUUGAGGAUUCUGUAGCUAUGGCUCUGUGAUUCCAGAGUUGGAAAGAGAAGAAGACUUGAUUGCUGCGGCAAAACACAUUGCAAGGGCAUUGGGAUCUAAAAAGAAC
rnacentral:misc_RNA from 1 species